rnacentral:rRNA from 1 species
UCGGGAAUAUUGCGCAAUGGAGGAAACUCUGACGCAGUGACGCCGCGUGCAGGAAGAAGGUUUUCGGAUUGUAAACUGCUUUAGACAGGGAAGAAACAAGACAGUACCUGUAGAAUAAGCUCCGGCUAACUACGUGCCAGCAGCCGCGGUAAUACGUAGGGAGCAAGCGUUAUCCGGAUUUAUUGGGUGUAAAGGGUGCGUAGACGGGAAUGCAAGUUGGUUGUGAAAUCCCUCGGCUCAACCGAGGAAUUGCAACCAAAACUAUAUUUCUUGAGUGCUGGAGAGGAAAGUGGAAUUCCUAGUGUAGCGGUGAAAUGCGUAGAUAUUAGGAGGAACACCAGUGGCGAAGGCGACUUUCUGGACAGUAACUGACGUUGAGGCACGAAAGUGUGGGGAGCAAACAGGAUUACAUACCC